rnacentral:rRNA from 1 species
AUUGAACGCUGGCGGCAGGCCUAACACAUGCAAGUCGAGCGGAUGAAGGGAGCUUGCUCCUGGAUUCAGCGGCGGACGGGUGAGUAAUGCCUAGGAAUCUGCCUGGUAGUGGGGGAUAACGUCCGGAAACGGGCGCUAAUACCGCAUACGGCCUGAGGGAGAAAGUGGGGGAUCUUCGGACCUCACGCUAUCAGAUGAGCCUAGGUCGGAUUAGCUAGUUGGUGGGGCAAAGGCCUACCAAGGCGACGAUCCGUAACUGGUCUGAGAGGAUGAUCAGUCACACUGGAACUGAGACACGGUCCAGACUCCUACGGGAGGCAGCAGUGGGGAAUAUUGGACAAUGGGCGAAAGCCUGAUCCAGCCAUGCCGCGUGUGUGAAGAAGGUCUUCGGAUUGUAAAGCACUUUAAGUUGGGAGGAAGGGCAGUAAGUUAAUACCUUGCUGUUUUGACGUUACCAACAGAAUAAGCACCGGCUAACUUCGUG